AAAAACCAAAAGAGCUGUUUAAGUUUUAAGAUCAGAACGACGUCGUCUUGAUUCCCCCUCUUCUUCACUGUUUGCACUUGAGAUCAGAAAUCGGCGAUUGCAUCGACGGUACGGUGUUCCUCUCUUUCUAUUUCCACUCCCCGUCUUCUACCAGCUCGUUUCCUUCCUCGCUCUUUCCCUCCCUCUCAUUACGACGUUUUGGGGACAAAGCGGUAUAACUCUGUUGAAGAAGUGAAAGAAGCAUACGGGAAGCUGUCUUCUAAGCGGCAUGGAAAUCCCUACUACUAAUGGUUUUACAAAGAUCUAAUAUGCUUAUGAGCUGAUGAUGAAUCCUUUAUGGAAAAGGGACUAUGACAUAUUUGGCAUUGAUGAGCAAUCUCAUAUUAUCGACAAGAUUAACUUGCAAUACACUGGGGAAAGCUUUUCAGGCAUUGAUCUUCCAUUACUAGAUGCUACUACUUUUGGGUAGAACAAAAAGCAAAGGAGGAUGCCCAUUGUGGGAUGGAGGAAACAGUACUUAGAUUGCUUGUAGCUCCUAAGUUGCAAAUAAUUGGCUUUCUGGUGAUGGUUGAAAACUUGAACCUUGGGUUCAUUCCUUCACCAUGCUAUAGACAUUACAAUCUGUGUCAAUGGUAUGAUAGUUUCCCUUUCUCCUCUCCUUUUUCCGAGUGGCAAAGUAGAAUUGCUCAAUAAAGAAUCAGCUGAACAUUUAAUUGCAUUAAAUUAAAUAUUUGAUGCAAGAAGUUUUUAUUCUUGCAUAUCUGAACUCGCUUGAUCCUUCCUGCCAAUACACCUUUAUUAUUUGCAUUUAUGAGAGCAUUUUAUUUUGGCAUUAUCUUAUUCUUGAUUUGAUGUGUGCCUCUCAAAUUGCUUGAUUUUAUUAACUUUAGCUUCAGCAUAGCAUGUUUCUUGCUUUUAACCUGA